rnacentral:rRNA from 1 species
GACGAACGCUGGCGGCAUGCCUAAUACAUGCAAGUCGAGCGAACAGAUGAAGUGCUUGCACUUCUGACGUUAGCGGCGAACGGGCGAGUAACACGUAAGGAAUCUACCUAUAAGUGGGGGAUAACAUUCGGAAACGGGUGCUAAUACCGCAUAAUAUCUUCUUCCGCAUGGAAGAAGAUUGAAAGACGGCUCUGCUGUCACUUAUAGAUGACCUUGCGGUGCAUUAGCUAGUUGGUGAGAUAACAGCCCACCAAGGCAACGAUCAGUAGCCGGCUUGAGAGAGUGUACGGCCACAUUGGGACUGAGACACGGCCCAGACUCCUACGGGAGGCAGCAGUGGGGAAUUUUGCACAAUGGGGGCAACCCUGAUGCAGCGACGCCGCGUGAUUUAGAAGGCCUUCGGGUUGUAAAAAUCUUUUGUAUAGGAAGAAAAUGACAGUACUAUACGAAUAAAGUCCCGCUAAUUACGUGCCAGCAGCCGCGGUAAUACGUAAAGACCGAGCGUUGUCCGGAAUCAUUGGGCGUAAAGGGUACGUAGGCGGUUAGAAAGUUAGAAGUGAAAGGCUAUAGCUCAGCUAUAGUAAGCUUUUAAAACUGUUUAACUUGAGAGAUGGAAGGGAAAGUGGAAUUCCUAGUGUAGCGGUGAAAUGCGCAGAUAUUAGGAGGAAUACCGGUGGCGAAGGCGACUUUCUGGCCAUUAUCUGACGCUGAGGUACGAAAGCGUGGGUAGCAAACAGGAUUAGAUACCCUGGUAGUCCACGCCGUAAACGAUGAGUGUUAGGUGUCUGGAGUAAAUCUGGGUGCCGCAGCUAACGCAAUAAACACUCCGCCUGGGGAGUACGCACGCAAGUGUGAAACUCAAAGGAAUUGACGGGGACCCGCACAAGCAGCGGAGCAUGUGGUUUAAUUCGAAGCAACGCGAAGAACCUUACCAAGUCUUGACAUAUUACGGCGGAAUCUAGAGAUAGAAUCUUACUUCUUCGGAAGGCUGUAAAACAGGUGGUGCAUGGUUGUCGUCAGCUCGUGUCGUGAGAUGUUGGGUUAAGUCCCGCAACGAGCGCAACCCUUAAGCUUAGUUGCCAUCAUUAAGUUGGGCACUCUAAGUUGACUGCCGGUGACAAACCGGAGGAAGGUGGGGAUGACGUCAAAUCAUCAUGCCCCUUAUGAUUUGGGCUACACACGUGCUACAAUGGCAGGUACAGAGGGCAGCGAGAUUGUGAAAUUAAGCGAACCUCAAAAAGCCUGUCCCAGUUCGGAUUGCACUCUGCAACUCGAGUGCAUGAAGUUGGAGUUGCUAGUAAUCGCAGAUCAGAAUGCUGCGGUGAAUGCGUUCCCGGGUCU